rnacentral:rRNA from 1 species
AUUGAACGCUGGCGGCAGGCCUAACACAUGCAAGUCGAACGAGUGGCGGACGGGUGAGUAAUGUCUGGGAAACUGCCUGAUGGAGUGGUAUAACUACUGGAAACGGUCGCUAAUACCGCAUACCAUCGGAUGUGCCCAGGUUGGAUUAGCUAGUAGGUGGGGUAAAGGCUCACCUAGGCAACUAUCCCUAGCUGGUCUGAGAGGAUGACCAGCCACACUGGAACUGAGACACGGUCCAGACUCAUACGGGAGGCAGCAGUGGGGAAGAGUGCACAAUGGGCGCAAGCCUGAUGCAGCCAUGCCGCGUGGAUGAAGAAGGCCUUCGGGUUGUAAAGUACUUUCAGCGGGGAGGCGGUACCCGCAGAAGAAGCACCGGCUAACUCCGUGCCAGCAGCCGCGGUAAUAC